UUCAGAGUUUGAUCCUAGGCUCAGGACGAACGCUGGCGGCGUGCCUAACACAUGCAAGUCGAACGAAGUAAGUUGCUUCACCAAACGUUAAAGUAUCACCUCAAGCACAUUUCCUGUUAUAGGUAAAAGAGCGAGAGAAAGAAAAAAGGUGAAAGCAAGAGAAAGCAGAAGCAAGAAACAAAUGUGCUUCACGCUCAUAUAGCUUGCCAACACACUUAGAGAUUAGAAAAUUUUAGUGUUUGGUGAAGUAACUUACUUAGUGGCGGACGGGUGAGUAACGCGUGAACAAUCUGCCCUAUACAGAGGAAUAGCCUCGGGAAACCGGGAUUAAAACCGCACACAACUAUAGUAUCGCAUGAUAUAUUAGUCAAAUUGAUUAAGAGGUAUAGGAUGAGUUCGCGUCUGAUUAGCUAGUUGGUGGGGUAAAGGCCUACCAAGGCGACGAUCAGUAGCCGGCCUGAGAGGGUGAACGGCCACACUGGAACUGAGACACGGUCCAGACUCCUACGGGAGGCAGCAGUGGGGAAUAUUGCACAAUGGAGGAAACUCUGAUGCAGCGACGCCGCGUGAGUGAAGAAGGUCUUCGGAUCGUAAAACUCUGUCCUUGAUGAAGAUAAUGACGGUAGCCAAGGAGGAAGCCCCGGCUAACUACGUGCCAGCAGCCGCGGUAAUACGUAGGGGCGAGCGUUGUCCGGAUUUACUGGGCGUAAAGGGUGAGUAGCGGUAAUAUGUGUCAGAUGUAAAGGCUAAGGCUCACCAUAGUUAGCAUUUGAACUGUAUUACUUGAAUU
rnacentral:rRNA from 1 species